GCACAGCCAUAGCCACUGAAAUGCAGGAUCUGAGCCAUGUCUGCAACCUAUACCACAGCUCGUGGCAACGCCAGAUCCUUAACCCACUGAGAGAGGCCAUGGAUCGAAUCUGCAUCCUAUGGAUCCUAGUCAGGUUCGUUAACCUCUGAGCCACGAAGGAAACUCAGAGGAACUAUCUUGAGCAACUGAUUUGAUGAAAAUCCACAGAGAAAAUAAAAGAUAGUAUUAUCUCCAGGAUAAAAGAGUAAACCAUGAUUCUGUUUUCUUUUAAAAUCUGUUAUCCAAGGAAUAUAUAAAGAUAAAUGUACAUACAUAUCCAUAUAUAUGUACUCACACAGAUAUACACACAUACAUAUACUCAUAUGUAUGCAUGUGUAUGAAGAUAUAAUAUGUAUGUGUGUAUAGGUGCAUGCAUAUAUAUGUGUGUGUAUAUAGAUAUACAUGAACACAUAUACACUUUAAUAGCCAAAUAAAUUUUGUCUUCAUUUAUAAAGAAAGAGGUGGGAAAUCUUAAAAGUCUUUUUUAACUAUCGUGACUCUUAAUAAACUCCUGUUUCAGUGUGAGUGUCCGUCAGAGAUUGAAAACUGAAUGUGGCCCCCAGACACAUCCUAUCUGAAGCCUAGGCAGGUCAUCCUCGCUCCACUUUGACCAAAGGCCACAACUUCUUGUCUUACACCAGGUCCAAUUCACAACUUACUGUUAAUCCAGCUUCUAAAGAUAUGAGUACCCCCAUCAGAGUUGUGAUCAAGAUGUGAUCAAAGCCCGUCUUAACAUAGGUAUAAAAGCUAAAUUAAUAACCAGGAACCUAAGCAAGAAAAAAGAAAAAGGAUGGCACAUUCAGGCCAAGAUGAGGACAUUCAAAACUACUGGAGAUCUUUUUUUUUAUGUUUUCUUACAACAUACUUAUUUUUUUCUUACAGAUAGAAUCAAACAAAAUUGUGUAUGUGAUAGCUUUAUGCUGCCUUAGACAGCUAAGGCAGACACCCAGUAACUUAGUUGUGACAUUUUGUUAGUUGUUUCUAGACUCUUUAGUCACAGAUUAUUACUUUAGUUCAGUUAUUUCUAUAGCUGACUGAUCUCAGUUGUUUCACGGUGAUUGCAUCUAAUUUCACUCUCAGAGGGAAACCCUCAUUCUAGGAGCUCGGGUUACCUAGCAGUUACCUCCUAGGUACUAACUACAAUUUUCACUAUGGGUGUUAAAGUCAAGAUUUAAAAAUAUUGGUCCAGUGUCACAACAUGAUAUUAAAUUGAUAUUGAAUCCUUUUUGCUCUUUUAAACAUUUUCCUAGUUUUCUUUUCUCUGUAGGGUUAUGGUUUUAGAUGAAGUAUCAUAACACAUUUUUAAAGCAUAGAAUUUCCAUACAUCUUAUUCUGUCUGACAAUCUUCACAUUAAACAGUGUUGGGUACAUACAGCAUUUGAACGUGGCAGGUCAUCCCUCACUUGCUAUGCUACAUAAAGGUGUUUGAUAAAUUGCAAAAACCUACACACCUUUACAGGUUAAGUGAUGGUAUAAAAGUUUUGUGGACCAAAAAGAAUGGAGCUACAUUUCUUCAGGACAUUGUCUGAUUCAGAAUUUUCUUCCUGGCACUUAGAGCAAUGCUUGGCACAUAUAAAGGGUCUGAUAUACAUUUUCAAAUGAAUUAAUUAACCACAAACGUUGGAAGACAAGUUCAGAGAAAAGAUAUGCUCCUGCUAAGUUACUUAGAUUUCAGGGAGAGUUCUUGCAGAGAAUCUCACUCAAGGUGAAAAUAUAGAUUACCAGCAAAACAUUUGAAGUACCAAUGGAUGCCUUCAUUGGAACAACUAUUACUUUCAAAUUCUAUUUAAUGAGCAAUACUACUUUUCAAAAUUCACAGGUAGAAACACUUGCUUUCUCUGAUUUGUUUUAAAAUAAAAUCAAAUACUUUUCUUUAGGGAGGACACAUUCUAGAAGCAGUUUUUUCUCUUAAGAGAGACCAACAGAGGUAUCAACGCGGCUCAGCAGGUUAAGAACACAACUAGUAUUCAUGAGGACAUGUUUUCAAUCUCUGGCCCCACUCAAUGGGUUAAAGGAUCUGGCAUUGGCAUGAGCUGUGGUGCAGGAUACAGACAUGGCUCAGAUCUGGCAUUGCUGUGGCGUUGCUGUGGCGUUGCUGUGACUGUGUCUGUGGCCAGCAGCUGUAGCUCUAAUUGGACUCCUAGCGUGGGAACGGCCCAUAAGGCAAAAAAAAAAAAAAAAAAAAAAAGGAGGAAGGAGACAAUAAAUGAAAGCAAAACAUAAUUCUCAAAGUAGAUAAGAACAAUGAGGUUAUUUGUGCUGUUAUUUUGAUUUUUUUAGCUGUGUUAUACAUUCUAGGAGGGUACACUGCACAUAUUUUAAGUUAAAAUUAAAUCAAGGCUAAUAUUACUAGCUAUGAUGUGUUUAGAUUAUUUAGAAGUUUGGAUCAUAGACAUGCUUCAAUUUGAAGUGAUAAUUUAAAUGCAGUAAGUUUUUUUCUGGGUGGUAAGUUAGGUGAACAAUACUUAGAUUAGUGCAACACAAAAACAGAUGACAGACCAUCAUCAAUACCACCUGUAGCUCUCCUUGGUCUAAGCAAUUCAGAAUACAACUUCAUUUUACUUAUAAUUCCAUCUUGAAUCAAAGCAUCUUCUACCUCAAGCAUCAGUGCUCUUCAAUAUCUAAUUUCACAGUUUUCUUAACACGUAUCUCAUGUUAUUUAUUAUAGUCAGAGGCAUCUCCACACCUUUGUCUAUCCCUGCUACCUUUUAAAUGAUUUAUCUGGCAAACCAUCAAUCACAAAUCAUGAAACAUAUUCUAGCCCAAGUCAGAGCAGUUAAGAAAGAAAACAAGCCUGGUGUUGCCUAAUUGGAAACAUUAUUCACAUCAAUAAGUGAUAAAUGCGUGUUCUGGGAAAGGAGAUUUUUCCCUCAGAUCUGUCUAUAAUGUAGGAUAUGGACAAGAUUAAAAUCUCCAAUCAUCUUCUAACUUGAGGCAAUAAAGAUAUUGAUAAAAACAAUCCAAAGUUUUCUGAAAAGUUUCAAAAACUCUAUUUCAAGUGCAGAAGAAGGCUUUUAUUAGCAAAUAAGCAAUAAUAUGUAUAUUAUUUAUGAUUUUUCUCUGCUUAAAACCAGAGCAGACAAAUAAUUUGAAAAAAAAAAAGACCUAAUCAACAUAUACAAAUGUUUUGGUGGGUUAUAAGAGCCUUGAUAAAUUUGCUUACCUGGCUUUACCCUGAAAGGACAUGUGCAAGAAUGUUUUGAUAACCUCUUAUUUGAUAUUUAAAGUAUUCAAAUAACUUGUAUUAAUGACAGCGUAAACUGUACAGUUCAGAAUUUUUUGAUAUUAUAUAUAGUACUUUCUAUGUCUCAUGGAGGAUACCUUAACUAUAUCCCAGGAAAUACAUUCUCAAAAUAGGAAAACACAUAAUGCCUCCCUCAUAAUAUUUUAAUUUAAAGAACACAGAUGUGCUCACUUAUCCCAUGAGGUCAAUUGCACAACCACCACCACAUUACCCAGGUGAUGUUCAUUUCAAGUUACAGGUAAUUUAUUAUAACUGUAGCACUGUCACAGGGAUAGUUCACACAAAUAAUUUGACUUAGGUAAACACCAUUUUCCAGUAAUGAUAGGACAAAACAAACUUUAGGAGCAUUUAUGAACAGUAACAUCUCAUUCUCAGUACACAUUUGCCAACCCAUCUCUGUUGUUUGCAAAUGAAUUAACGAUGGCUUGAAAAAAUCAUUAGAGCCAUCUGCUUUGAUGGUUAAGAAAAACUACUAUGAUCGUUUUAUUAUAGAAGCAAAGACUAGGAACUAUUGUAGCAUAUUUUUAGCAUCAUUUCCCUUAAAUUUCACAUGCUAUCUAAGAAGUUAUCAGUUUAUCCAUUCUUACAAGGAUUCUCCCUUGUAAAUCCUUUUACUGAGAAACCACUUUAUGUAGGUAACUGAGCAGGUUUUGGUUUGUUUGUUUGUUUAGAAUGGUAGAAUAUGGGAAAUGACUAUUUUUUUCUCUAGUAAAACUGAUCGUUAUGGUCACCAAAAUGCUUGCUUUUCCAGAAUGUUUUAAUCCCUCAAGUAAGAACUGACAAAGGAAAUUAAAAUCAGCUAAACAAAUUAGUUCCUUUGAUUGUUUUGAUUCAGUGGAUUCAAAAUGUACAUUUGUUCAAUAGAUUUUCUUGUCCAAACAAUUUAUAUGAAUGCUAUUGUCAAUGCUUCCAACAUUUGAAUAACUAUUUUUUUGCAGUUGCUUAAAAAGGAUCUAUCAUUACUUUCCUAUGGAUCUAUGAUUCAGGAAUAUGUUUGAAAUGUAACUUUAGUAUUUACUUGUAUUUGACAGGUAUAAAAGAGGACUGAGAGGAGAAAUAAAGUUCACUGAUGUUUAUCUCUAAUGGAAAUUUUCCAGUAAUCACAGAGCUUAAAUGAUACUUGGUGUAUAAUAUUAACAUACAUGCUUUGCCAUUAAAAAAAAUCUUUUUUUUUUUUUUCUCUUAGGAUGUUGGUGUUCAGAGAUGACCAUAACGGAGGAUCUGUUCAUUUUUAAGUGCACUUGAAUCCAAUUGAUAUUGAAGAACUAAGUGUAUGUUUAACAGAUGGAUGAGUGAAUAGAAAAAUACAUUUAAUUGUAUUCUAUUUAAGCUAAAUUAAAUGGGGAAAAAAUCUGCCUAUGUACUAAAAAGCAGUCCUCUUUAAACUUAAAAAGCGUCUUUUCUUAUAUGGUUUUGCAGCAAAGAGGAGAAAAAUACAUAGUUUUAAUCCAUCAGAUUAUCUGAUGCAAAGCUCUGAAUCUGUGGGGUGAUAAAUGUGCUAAAUAUAUUUUCAACUAUAACUGCAUUCAGAAAUAUCUUUAUCAAUCAGACACAAAAAAGGGUAAGCUGGUAGAUUUCACAAGUUUCUCAUAAUUCUCAAUAUAAGUAGCCAAAUAGCAGAUAUACUUAAUUAAGACAGUGACUAUAAAUGCAUAUGUCCUUUAAAACUUAAGUUUAUGUAUUCAAAAUGGAAUUUCACAAUCUGGCAACUGAUUUUUUUUUUUUUCAUUAUUGAGAAAAACUGCAUUACACUCUGGUGGAAAUUUAAGUCGGUGAAGCCAAGGGCUGGCCACAGGCUGCUAGUAAAUACUGGCCUCUUCGUCUGGCUGGGCAAGCAAUCUGACAGAGAACCAAGGCACAGGACUGCUACCUUUUUACAACUGAAUCUUGAAAGUAAAAACCCAUCACUUCCGUGAUAGUCAUUGGAAGCAAGUCACUAGGUUCCUGUCCACACUUGAGAGAAAUUACACAAGUGAGUAAAUAUCAGGAAAUGGGGAUCCCUGGGGCCAUUUUAGAGACUGCUUACUAUACCUCUUUAAUCCAUGAGCAGCCCCUACUCCACUGGUUUAUUUCAAGGUAUUGCUCUUUUCUGAAUUUCAAUAAUUUAUUCUGAAUUCAAACGUGAUACCUAUUAACUUAUCCAUAGAUAAGCCAUACAGUCCUUCUUCCCCCAUAUCUUUGAAAAAAAAAAUCUCUUCUGCUACAUACUCUAUCGGGUUAUGGAAAAAUAUUAACUGUGACAGUGAAUAUCUAAUCUCUACUAGAGUACCUACACUGUAUAGUAGCCCUUACUAGGUCACUUUUAUUACCAACGUUGUUGCUCAAUGUUAAUUCCUAAAACUUCCACUCUGGGUCCUGUUUCUACAAGUUCUUGCAUCAUCAAACACUCUUCUGCCUACCUCAACAAGAGUAAGAGAAAAAUUCAAGUUUUUACCAUUUUAUUUAUUUAUUUAUUUUAGUUUCAAAUAUUCCUUCCCAUAUCCUUCACCGUAGCAGCAAUUGCUCUAUCUUCAAAGUCAAGUUACUUAAGAAUAAUGGAGACUGUAGGAGUUCCCGUCCUGGCUCAGCAGAAAUGAACCGAACUAAGAAUUAUGAGGUUGCGGUUUUGAUUCUUGGCCUCCAUCAGUGGGUUAAGGAUCCAGCAUUGCCACGAACUGACAGAGAUUUUCUAACAGCCUAAACCAAUGACUCUCAUAAUGUGGUACCUGGAUCCGCAGCAUCAAUGCCAACUGGGAACUUGUUAGAAAUGCACAUUGCGGGGAGGCGGGAUCUUCCAUCUUCCAGAGACCUACUCAGAAAGUGAGGCUGAGGCCUGAUAAUCUUUAACA
rnacentral:lncRNA from 1 species